AUGAACGCUGGCGGCGUGCCUAAUACAUGCAAGUCGAGCGAACAGACGAGGAGCUUGCUCCUCUGACGUUAGCGGCGGACGGGUGAGUAACACGUGGAUAACCUACCUAUAAGACUGGGAUAACUUCGGGAAACCGGAGCUAAUACCGGAUAAUAUAUUGAACCGCAUGGUUCAAUAGUGAAAGACGGUUUUGCUGUCACUUAUAGAUGGAUCCGCGCCGCAUUAGCUAGUUGGUAAGGUAACGGCUUACCAAGGCAACGAUGCGUAGCCGACCUGAGAGGGUGAUCGGCCACACUGGAACUGAGACACGGUCCAGACUCCUACGUGAGGCAGCAGUAGGGAAUCUUCCGCAAUGGGCGAAAGCCUGACGGAGCAACGCCGCGUGAGUGAUGAAGGUCUUCGGAUCGUAAAACUCUGUUAUUAGGGAAGAACAAAUGUGUAAGUAACUAUGCACGUCUUGACGGUACCUAAUCAGAAAGCCACGGCUAACUACGUG
rnacentral:rRNA from 1 species